GAGUUUGAUCCUGGCUCAGAACGAACGCUGGCGGCGUGCUUAACACAUGCAAGUCGAACGUGAUCCAGAGCUUGCUCUGGUGAAAGUGGCGCACGGGUGAGUAACGCGUGGAUAACCUGCCCUGGUAUCUGGGAUAACAUCUCGAAAGGGGUGCUAAUACCGGAUAAGCCUACGGGCUCUUCGGAGUCUGCAGGAAAAGGAGGCCUCUAUUUAUAAGCUUCCGUAUCAUGAUGGGUCCGCGUACCAUUAGCUAGUUGGUGGGGUAAUGGCCUACCAAGGCGACGAUGGUUAGCUGGUCUGAGAGGAUGAUCAGCCACACUGGAACUGAGACACGGUCCAGACUCCUACGGGAGGCAGCAGUGGGGAAUUUUGCGCAAUGGGGGAAACCCUGACGCAGCAACGCCGCGUGAGUGAUGAAGGCUUUCGGGUCGUAAAGCUCUGUCAGAGGGGAAGAAAUGAAACGUGCUAAUAUCACGUCUUCUUGACGGUACCCUCAAAGGAAGCACCGGCUAACUCCGUGCCAGCAGCCGCGGUAAUACAAGGGCGAMYKS
rnacentral:rRNA from 1 species